UACAGAGGUCUCGAGCGUUUGUUCGGAUUCAUUGGGCGUAAAGGGUGCGUAGGUGGCUUGGUAAGUCGGAUGUGAAAUCCCGGGGCUCAACCCCGGAACUGCAUUCGAUACUGCCGGGCUAGAGUACUGGAGAGGAGAUUGGAAUUUACGGUGUAGCAGUGAAAUGCGUAGAUAUCGUAAGGAAGACCAGUGGCGAAGGCGGAUCUCUGGACAGUUACUGACACUGAGGCACGAAGGCCAGGGGAGCAAACGGG
rnacentral:rRNA from 1 species